rnacentral:rRNA from 1 species
UACGUAGGGUGCGAGCGUUGUCCGGAAUUAUUGGGCGUAAAGGGCUCGUAGGCGGUUUGUCGCGUCGGGAGUGAAAACGCCGUGCUUAACACGGCGCUUGCUUUCGAUACGGGCAGACUAGAGGUAUGCAGGGGAGAACGGAAUUCCUGGUGUAGCGGUGAAAUGCGCAGAUAUCUGGAGGAACACCGGUGGCGAAGGCGGCAUCCUGGACCAAUACUGACGCUGAGGAGCGAAAGCCAGGGGAGCAAACGGG